rnacentral:rRNA from 1 species
UCAUCCUACGGGACGCAGCAGUGAGGAAUAUUGGUCAAUGGGCGGGAGCCUGAACCAGCCAAGUCGCGUGAGGGAAGACGGUCCUAUGGAUUGUAAACCUCUUUUGUCGGGGAGCAAAGAGGCCACGUGUGGUCAAAAGCGAGAGUACCCGAAGAAAAAGCAUCGGCUAACUCCGUGCCAGCAGCCGCGGUAAUACGGAGGAUGCGAGCGUUAUCCGGAUUUAUUGGGUUUAAAGGGUGCGUAGGCGGGCUGUUAAGUCAGCGGUCAAAUGUCGGGGCUCAACCCCGGCCUGCCGUUGAAACUGG